UUAAUUCACAAUAUGCUUUUCUCUUGUGUGUUAGUGAGACAUUACAAAUGUUAAUGGAAUGUUUUUCUGGGAAAUCAUUAUAAAAUUGUUGAAAUCAUCACAUUACCAAUAUAAUUUGUACAUAUAUUUACACUUACAGAUAGCAUUGAUGAAAACAAAAGAAUUGUUAAUAAUUGACCCCUUGUGUGAUGAGAUGAGAUAUGAAAGAACAUGCCUGAGGAAUUGGAGAUACUUCAUCAAACAAUUAACUAGCAAAUCCUCAUCUGAUUGGAAGAGUAAAAUUGUACAGCGUACCAGACAAAGAGAUGGACACAACUGCGGGCCAUUCAUCUUAAAGAAAGCGUGGAGGACUACUGCACAUACUUGUCAACUGUGAAAAGGAAAGUGAGGAUUACAUGAUGGUCUAGUACGUCUCUUGCAAGAGGUGGGCACAUAUGCCCUGUAUUCCAGAAGGAACCAAUCAAGAAAACAUGACUGAUGAGAAGAAAGAAUACAAGUGCAAAAAAUGUGCAUAUUUCAGUUCUUUUUUUUUUUAAAUUACAUUAUGUGUAAAUGCUUGUUAUUAAAAACAUCU